UUGGCUCGAGUGGCGAACGGGUGAGUAACACGUGAGUAACCUGCCCUUGACUUCGGGAUAACUUCAGGAAACUGGGGCUAAUACCGGAUAGGAGCUCCUGCUGCAUGGUGGGGGUUGGAAAGUUUCGGCGGUUGGGGAUGGACUCGCGGCUUAUCAGCUUGUUGGUGGGGUAGUGGCUUACCAAGGCUUUGACGGGUAGCCGGCCUGAGAGGGUGACCGGCCACAUUGGGACUGAGAUACGGCCCAG
rnacentral:rRNA from 1 species